rnacentral:rRNA from 1 species
UACGGGGGGGGCAAGCGUUGUUCGGAAUUACUGGGCGUAAAGGGCGCGUAGGCGGCCUUCUAAGUCAGACGUGAAAUCCCUCGGCUCAACCGAGGAACUGCGUCUGAUACUGGAAGGCUUGAAUCCGGGAGAGGGAUAUGGAAUUCCAGGUGUAGCGGUGAAAUGCGUAGAUAUCUGGAGGAACACCGGUGGCGAAGGCGGCAUCCUGGACCGGUAUUGACGCUGAGGCGCGAAAGCUAGGGGAGCAAACGGG